rnacentral:rRNA from 1 species
AAGUCCCGCAACGAGCGCAACCCUUGCCUUUAGUUGCCAGCAGUUCGGCUGGGCACUCUAAAGGGACUGCCGGUGUUAAACCGGAGGAAGGUGGGGAUGACGUCAAGUCCUCAUGGCCUUUAUGACCAGGGCUACACACGUACUACAAUGGCCGAUACAAAGGGCAGCGACACUGCGAGGUGAAGCCAAUCCCGUAAAAUCGGUCUCAGUCCGGAUUGGAGCCUGCAACUCGACUCCAUGAAGUUGGAAUCGCUAGUAAUCGUGGAUCAGCAUGCCACGGUGAAUACGUUCCCGGGCCUU